rnacentral:rRNA from 1 species
UACGUAGGUGGCGAGCGUUGUCCGGAAUUACUGGGUGUAAAGGGCGUGUAGGCGGGGAAACAAGUCAGAUGUGAAAUUCUGGGGCUCAACCCCAGUGCUGCAUCUGAAACUGUAUCUCUUGAGUGCUGGAGAGGAAAGCGGAAUUCCUAGUGUAGCGGUGAAAUGCGUAGAUAUUAGGAGGAACACCAGUGGCGAAGGCGGCUUUCUGGACAGUAACUGACGCUGAGGCGCGAAAGCGUGGGGAGCAAACAGG